GUAAAGCACACGGGGGCAAAGUCCAAGUCUCUCAGAUCACUGGAGGGGAAAACGUGUAAAAGCUUUAUGAAGCCUCAUUUAACACUUUAACUCAGUCAGAAGACGCAAAAAGACACAAAAUGGCUAAAAAAAAAAAACUUUCAGGAGCCCACAUAAUCACUUUACACCCCAGGUGCAUUAUGGGUAUUGUGUUGGAUAUUCAAAUGUAUGAAAAUCUAUUUUAGGCAGCAUUUGCUUACCUUGUUUUUUUUAUUUUUCUUCACACUCUAGUAGUUCCUAUAAAUUGAAUAAUUAAUACUGUGAAACUGCUCGUGAAGGUGAAUGUUGGAAUAUCACUAAUGCUUUGUGUAAACACAGCCUCACAUGACCAGCCCUGCUCCAUUAAUCUUCACCUAUGCAUGUAGCUUAUUUAUUAAGAAAUGGCCAGAGAAUAAUGAUGGGGUGGGUAAUUAGUAACUAGCAAAGGAGGAACCCUCUUUAAAUUCCCCUCAGAAGCCAGACUGCAGAGAGAGAGAGGGCGGCAGACAGAGGAGCCUGAGAAGGAGGGAGGAAUUGGUAGCGAGGAGGAAUGAAGGGAUAGAGGAGUUACAGGUAAAGUGUAGGUUCAGCUCUCAGCGGCUCAGUUGUGACCGUACAGGAGGUGGAAGAGAGGAUGGGAAUCAAAGCAUUUUCAGCCCGUACAGGAGCUGGGAUCUACUCACUGCAGCAGCUGGUCGACCUCGGCUCUCAUCUUCGCCGCCUCCUCCGGGGGAAGCUUCUCUAUGUCCCGAAAGAUGGGUGGCGGGGACUCCAUUUCUCCCUCCUCGGAGCUCUCUCCGUCCGCCCUGUCUCCUUUCUCGGCGGCGGCGCUGGCCCGGUCUCGCUCCAGGUCCCCCACGGCUUGGACCAGGAUGUCCCGGGACAGUCCCGAGCCCAGCAGGGCCCAGAUCAGCUGCUCCUGUAGGGCGGUCAGGCGGCUGGGCCUGGCUUUGCCUGCCCCGCUCCUCUCCGCUCCCUCCAUUAUUCCGAUGCCUUACCUCGCUGCCGCCUCGCAAACAAACACUGCUAUCGUGUGCACUUCUACACUCGAAUGAUGGCCAGUCAGCCGGCGUCGGGCCUCAUUAUAUCUACAGCCCCAGUCCAGGUGAACUACACGGGUACUUUCAUUUUCCUGUGCGGCGUCUGCUGAGCUGCCUGGUUUUAGCUCUCCACCUGCUCUUUUGCUUUCAAAGGUCAAUUUUCUUUUCUUUUUUUAUCGUCCUCCUCUUCACCCCCUCCUCCUCACAUGCGCCCUGUGAACUUUGUCCCCUCUCCCUCAGUCCCCAACACUGGCCAAAGUUCAGGUUAAAAACAAUAAACAAAACUUAGGGGAUGGAACUGUGACGAGCUACAGGGAACAGGACUCACCUCUAAAAGCACAGACAAAAAACACAGGAGAGAAAUGUUUUAGGGCACAUUUGUGAUUCCAUAGAGAUAUGGACUAGUUAUAAAUCAGGAGCCUGUUCUUUUUAAACCAUUGAAACCUAUCCUUUGAACGUCAUCAUCAUCCUGUAGUUUUUACUGUUAGCCAGGCUUCAAACUCACAGAAACAGAAUAGUAUUAGAUUAAAGGAGGAAGAGCAGGGCUUGACCUGCCAGGAGUGCCACUAGAGGGCGCAGUCGUGCCACCUGUAGAUUAUCCCGCUUUGGGACGUCACUGAACGUGUUUUCUGUGCUGCGCAUGACACAGAGCACAGAGAGUAAGAGAGGAGGUGAUCUUAAUGGAAGUUGUCUUUGAAACUAAUUACUAUUUGCUUCUAUAUGUGUGAAAGCAUGCGUAUUUUUAUGUAUAUACACAAAAACUGCAGUGGUAAAACCAAUAGAUUAUUAUUCUAAUUUACAAAAACACAUUACAGUGUGAUUACAUUGGUUUGCAGAAAUUUAACCCUAACCCUAAAUCAAACUAAAUUAACAGGGUCGCAACUAAAAGAAGAGAAUAUUAAAAUAUUAUGCAAGUUAUAUUAGAAUGUUAUAUAAGAUCUAUUUUAUAUUACUUUUACUGUAUAUGACAAACACUUUUACUUGUGUGGUUUAGCCAAGUGUCCUUCGUCACUGCUUCAUUGAUCGGGUAUUUGUCAUUAUUAUUUUCUCACCUGUUGAACAUGUUCAUCUUCUUGUACUCUGAUUUUCUUCAUUUUUUCUCAAUUUUGCACCUUAAUCCUGUAGUGUAAACAUCACACAAUUCACUGACAUUAAUGCUUUACCGAAAUGUAAAUAAAUAACCUAAACUUUUUUA